rnacentral:rRNA from 1 species
UACGUAGGUGGCAAGCGUUGUCCGGAUUUACUGGGCGUAAAGAGCGCGCAGGCGGUCGUUCAAGUCGCGUGUGAAAGCCCCCGGCUCAACUGGGGAGGGUCACACGAUACUGAUCGACUCGAAGGCAGGAGAGGGUAGUGGAAUUCCCGGUGUAGUGGUGAAAUGCGUAGAUAUCUGGAGGAACACCGGUGGCGAAGGCGGCAUCCUGGACCAAUACUGACGCUGAGGAGCGAAAGCCAGGGGAGCAAACGGG